CAGUAGCCGCGGGAAUACGUAGGGUGCAAGCGUUAAUCGGAAUUACUGGGCGUAAAGCGCACGCAGGCGGUUUGUUAAGUCAGAUGUGAAAUCCCCGAGCUUAACUUGGGAACUGCAUUUGAAACUGGCAAGCUAGAGUCUUGUAGAGGGGGGUAGAAUUCCAGGUGUAGCGGUGAAAUGCGUAGAGAUCGGGAGGAACAUCAGUGGCGAAGGCGGCCAUCUGGGACAACACUGACGCUGAAGCACGAAAGCGUGGGGAGCAAACAGGAUUAGAUACCCCUGUAGUCCCUGUCUCUUAUAC
rnacentral:rRNA from 1 species